UGGUAGAAUAAGGCUAGCCUCCCUGCCACCCUUACAUGAUCGAGAGGGGAAAAAUGGGUACUCACCAUAAGGGCGUCUGCCCGAAGCGGCACCACGGGGAUACCUGGAGCCCCAGGAUCUCCCUCUGGCUGGGAAGAAGGGAGGCGACCUCGCAUCUUGCAAUCCUCGGGAAGGAAAGAAGGAACCUCUGGAGGCCCUGAACGAGCCACGGAAGCCCCGGCCGGGUGGACGGUUCCUGCUACGCCCGGCCCCUCCGAAAACCUUGGGAGCGAACACGCGCUUCAUAUUCGCUUGGGCCUUGUCAAUGGCCGUAAAGGUCUUAACAUAGGAACCAAGG